UACGGGGGGGGGCAAGCGUUGUUCGGAAUUACUGGGCGUAAAGGGCUCGUAGGCGGCCAACUAAGUCAUACGUGAAAUCCCCCCGGCUUAACCGGGGAACUGCGUCUGAUACUGGAUGGCUUGAGUUCGGGAGAGGGAUGCGGAAUUCCAGGUGUAGCGGUGAAAAUGCGUAGAUAUCUGGAGGAACACCGGUGGCGAAGGCGGCAUCCUGGACCGAUACUGACGCUGAGGAGCGAAAAGCCAGGGGGAGCAAAACGGGGAUUAGAAAACCCC
rnacentral:rRNA from 1 species